GCCAGGCAUGGUGGAGCAUACCUGUAAUCCCAGUGGCUGGGGAGGCUGAGACAGAAGGAUUGUGAGUUCAAAGCCAGCCUCAACAGUGGUGAAGGGCUUAGCAACUCAGUGAGACCCUGUCUCUA
rnacentral:sRNA from 1 species